UGAAAGUAAUUUAUUUGGGAGAUAUGAAAGCAACAGCAGGAACAUAGGGAAUUGUGAUAUGAAAAAGGAAGGAAUCACUCCAGGGUGACAUAAUGAGCAGGUUCUAGAAUAGGCAACUAGCGUUCAAUGAUAUUGGAACCUCAAGGAGUUUGUGAGGAACACACCAAGUUAUCCCAGUGGACGGGCAGGAAAGCUGGGAUCGUUAGCCACCAUCUGAAUCCCAUCACUGAUUGGGGGCCGUCCCAGGCCACUAACUCUCUGGCUCCUCCAGCCUGCCCUACUACACUCAGGCGAGCACACUCCAGCAGCCAGAGAAAGUGCUCGGGCAGAGAGCUGCAGGUGCUCACGGUAGACGUCAUUGGCAUUUACAGAGCGGUGAGUGCCAAGGAGAGGCAGGUGGGGCUCCGACAACACCUGCAAGUCAGUGCACAGGACCGGCUUCUGUGAAAACGAAAUCAGCUUGACUUGAACCAUCCUAUCCCGGUAGAUAAUAAGGGGUGGCAGAGAUGAGAAAGACCUGCUCCCAGCCUACAGCAGAGCAGUUUGGGAUCGUGUAAACUGACGUCACAGCCCCAGCCACUGCCCCUGCUGGCGAGUGGAAUGAAGAAGACGUGUGCAUUCAGGGACGAACUCCAGCCUAGGAUGGAGCCAGAACAGAACAGCAGAGCCAAAUGGAAGAGGUCCGAUCCUUGGAGACAUCUUGGGAUUGCUGGAUCACAUCUAGAUUUACACGAACCCACAUACUUUGCCGUUAUUUAGGCCAGUUUCACUCCACGUUUCUGUUAUAUCCAGAUACCAAAAGGCAUCUGGGUACACAGUUUACUUGCGUGUGCUUUGGCGAGCCGUGAGCUGAUUUUCAUCUUGUUCCACAUUUUCAACAAGAAUGUUCAAAGUUCAGACCAUGUUUGGGAGGCGCCGCAUACCUCUCCAUCGCCAGAGAGGCCGUAAAAGGAAGAAUGUUCAUUUUGAAAAGGAGGUGAUUUGUAAACAGUUGAUAUUGGCUUGUGUUUUGAAAAUAUAAUGCUCCCCAAAAUUGAUCAAUAAAACUCCCAAAAGUGCUUUCGACCAUG